rnacentral:misc_RNA from 1 species
UACGGAAGGUGCGAGCGUUAAUCGGAAUAACCGGGCGUAAAGCGCACGUAGGCGGUGUAUCAAGUCAGAGGUGAAAGCCCCGGGCUUAACCUGGGAACUGCACCUGAUACUGCUUGACUAGAGUACGGUAGAGGGCAGUGGAAUUUCCUGUGUAGCGGUGAAAUGCGUAGAUAUAGGAAGGAACACCAGUGGCGAAGGCGACUGCCUGGACUGAUACUGACACUGAGGUGCGAAAGCGUGGGUAGCAAACAGG